AUUCAGUCACAUGAAGCCAAGUACUGAUAGCUCAAAUCUUUAUCUGUAAAUUGUACAAAGGUACACAGUAAAUAUUAGUUGAUUGACGACACCAGUUGAAGAUGUGUAAUUUAAGGCAUAAAUAUUUCUAUUGAAUAUUUAUACUAAGGUUAUCAAGAUGGCUACGUAUUCUAAGUCAACUGUGGCUAGUGGCUCUGAUUCAUUUAUUGACUUUUGUUGUUUCCCCUGUUUAGAGCACAAAAUUGACCAGUGGGCUGACUUUUACUGCGAAAACUGUCAGAAAUGUUAUUGUGCAAAAUGUAUUAAUCUGCAUAGUCAGUUGUUUGGGACACAUGUGACAUACGGAAGGGGAGACACAAGUAAGUGGCCAGUGUGCAAGGAAGUGGAGGAUUUCCUUCAGAAGUGUGACCUUCAUGACGACAAACAUCUAGAAAUGUUUUGUGAGGACCACAGUCAGCUGUGCUGCACUAAUUGUGCUUUCCUCAAUCACAGACAAUGUGCUAAAGUAACACUGAUAUCCAAGUCAGUAAAAGGAUCUCCACCAAACUUGCAGCAACUAUCAAGAAAAAUCCAAAGCAUUCUUGAAGAAAUCAAGAAACUUCAGAAUUAUUGGGAUACCAACAUGCAGUCUUUGCAGGCUUCAUACGACAAACAAUUAUAUGUAAUACAUGACACACGCAAAAAAAUAAAUAGUAUUCUAGACAACAUUGAAAAAAACACCAUGAAAGAGCUAGAUGAUAAGUUGGCCAGUCUGAAAGAAUCUGUCAAGACUGAUGCAGACAAUUGCAGCAAACUCAAAAAUGAACUCAAGCAACUCAAUGACGCAAUACACGACAUUGUUGAUAAGGGCAAAGCAGAACUCACAUUUAUUGCUAGUAAGAAAUGUAUGGAAAAGAUUAAGCAGUCUGAAACAUAUCUGAAGCAGAACUCGUUUCAGGUUGAAAGUUCACUGACAUUCCAGGCAGACAGGGAUUUUCAACAGUACUUGUCUAAAUUGUCAAGUCUGGGGAAGAUUGUACUCAGUACCAAGAAAACAUUAGUGUUAGUUGAUCCAGACCAGGCACUCACAGUACAAGGGAAGUCAAAGUAUAAUGUGCGCCUACAGAGCGAUUCAAAUAACUGCUAUAUCGAUGCCAUUUGUGUUCUCUCUGAGGAUCAGAUCCUUGUUGCAGAUAGUAUUAAUAAAAGAGUUAAGCUACUCAAUCAUCAAUACCAGAUGGUGGGUCAUUAUGAUUUAAAUGGUAGUCCAUGGGACAUGUGUAAAAUCACACCAAGUGAAGUAGCUGUUACUGUGAAUGACACUAGGACACAUGAGGUCCAGUUUGUCUCUGUGAAUGGUGGGCAGCUGGUUAAGGGCAGGAUGUUACAGUUUCAGCAUGCAUGUUUUGGUAUUGCUCAUAUUAUGCAAGACCUGUAUCUCACUUGUGGCACUGCACUUUACAAGUAUUCAAUGAAAGGAGCCCUGUUGACUAAGUUGUAUGAAGAUACAUCAGACAAGUUAACAGUAUCGAAGUGUGCAGUGAGUCCUCCUGGUGACAAGAUAUUUAUCACCAACUAUUCCCAUCACAAGGUCCUCACACUGGCCAGAGAUGGCACAGUUCUCCAAGCCUUCACAGACCCAGACCUACAACACCCAAGCGUUAUAUAUGUGACUGCUCUGGGACAGGUUCUGGUGUGUGGAGAAUCAUCCAGCACUAUCAUUCAGCUGGAUGGGGAAGGCAAGAAGAAGCUGGCAACUCUUGCUACCAAGAGGGAUGGACUUAAUCACCCACUCUCAGUCUUCUACAAUAGGAGCACAGCAUCCAUCAUUGUGGGACAAUUGUCUAGCGAUAACAUCCUUGUGUUAAGAGUAAAAUAGGUGUUUUUUCACAAGUUUCAGUACAAACCUUUUGGAACACUGUAGUUUCAACAUGAAUUCUUGGCCACACCAAACUUGUAUUCAGUAUUACGUUUCAUCACAUAAUUCACAUGGAUGAUAUAAUAUUGUCGUGCCUACUAAUGUCAAAUCAUGAAUAUGUUUGAAAAGGUACAUUUAUAAUAUACUUUGAGAGCAUGGAUCUAUUAUUUAGUGUUUUGUUUAAAUGCAUAAUUCUUGCGGGAUUAUAUAUUGUGUUGCAAUACAAUUUAAUAUGCGCUACCAUCUAUUGCUGAUAAUUAUUUUUCCUUUUCAAUCGCAUAUAAUCAGUGUAUUGUUGUUUUCUUGAUAUAUAUCUUAAAAAUGAAUAACAUGUACAUACAUGAUUUUUUUGUGUGGUUAUGUUCUAUAAUAUUUUUGUGUAAUUGUUAUGCACAGUAAAAAGAACAGCAGGGUGCAAUUAAGGAGGGAAGGUUUUACAUUUUCAUUGUAUUAUUGAACAGUCACCAUGUGUUUUGUCCUUAAAAAUAUAAAGUUAUUUAGAUUGACAAUUAUGUAUUGUACAGACUUCUUAAAUUGUUGUUUUUAGAUUUUACUUUUGUUGAUUACAGUUAUAUAUGUAUUUACUUAUGUCAUUCAUGCUAUCUGCCUUUACUGUUCACUAUGUUUUGCUUAAUAAAUUAACUUUUAAUUA